AUUCCUUCCUUGUUUUGCUGGUGCGUUUUGUCCAAUUCUUUGUUCAAGAUGCCAAGAACCUGGACACCCUCCACCGGUGACACAGCCAUGUGGAACUGUCUCAGACUUUGUGAAAUUACAUGCUAACUUGCAGACAUUUUUGUCUGGUGGAGAUGCAAAUGAUUUCUGUCUGAGAGAAAAGCCCCAAGACUCACCCAGAAGCAGAAGAUGGCUUCCCUCCUUGGGGCUUCCCUCCUGAACCCAUUUUGUUCUCAGACAGCUGAAACUUCACUGUCUUAUUAAACAUUUUUUUUAAACCA